AGUCGAACGAGAUCUUCGGAUCUAGUGGCGCACGGGUGCGUAACGCGUGGGAAUCUGCCCUUUGGUUCGGAAUAACAGUUGGAAACGACUGCUAAUACCGGAUGAUGACGUAAGUCCAAAGAUUUAUCGCCAGAGGAUGAGCCCGCGUAGGAUUAGCUAGUUGGUGUGGUAAGAGCGCACCAAGGCGACGAUCCUUAGCUGGUCUGAGAGGAUGAUCAGCCACACUGGGACUGAGACACGGCCCAGACUCCUACGGGAGGCAGCAGUGGGGAAUAUUGGACAAUGGGCGAAAGCCUGAUCCAGCAAUGCCGCGUGAGUGAUGAAGGCCUUAGGGUUGUAAAGCUCUUUUACCCGGGAUGAUAAUGACAGUACCGGGAGAAUAAGCUCCGGCUAACUCCGUGCCAGCAGCCGCGGUAAUACGGAGGGAGCUAGCGUUGUUCGGAAUUACUGGGCGUAAAGCGCACGUAGGCGGCUUUGUAAGUUAGAGGUGAAAGCCUGGAGCUCAACUCCAGAAUUGCCUUUAAGACUGCAUCGCUUGAAUCCAGGAGAGGUGAGUGGAAUUCCGAGUGUAGAGGUGAAAUUCGUAGAUAUUCGGAAGAACACCAGUGGCGAAGGCGGCUCACUGGACUGGUAUUGACGCUGAGGUGCGAAAGCGUGGGGAGCAAACAGGGUUAGAUACCCUGGUAGUCCACGCCGUAAACGAUGAUAACUAGCUGUCCGGGGACUUGGUCUUUGGGUGGCGCAGCUAACGCAUUAAGUUAUCCGCCUGGGGAGUACGGCCGCAAGGUUAAAACUCAAAUGAAUUGAC
rnacentral:rRNA from 1 species